rnacentral:rRNA from 1 species
GUAACAGGUCUUCGGGUGCUGGCGAGUGGCGAACGGGUGAGUAAUACAUCGGAACGUGCCCGAUCGUGGGGGAUAACGAGGCGAAAGCUUUGCUAAUACCGCAUACGAUCUACGGAUGAAAGCGGGGGAUCUUCGGACCUCGCGCGGACGGAGCGGCCGAUGGCAGAUUAGGUAGUUGGUGGGAUAAAAGCUUACCAAGCCGACGAUCUGUAGCUGGUCUGAGAGGAUGAUCAGCCACACUGGGACUGAGACACGGCCCAGACUCCUACGGGAGGCAGCAGUGGGGAAUUUUGGACAAUGGGCGAAAGCCUGAUCCAGCCAUGCCGCGUGCAGGAUGAAGGCCUUCGGGUUGUAAACUGCUUUUGUACGGAACGAAAAGCCUCUUUCUAAUAAAGAGGGGUCAUGACGGUACCGUAAGAAUAAGCACCGGCUAACUACGUGCCAGCAGCCGCGGUAAUACGUAGGGUGCAAGCGUUAAUCGGAAUUACUGGGCGUAAAGCGUGCGCAGGCGGUUUUGUAAGACAGAGGUGAAAUCCCCGGGCUCAACCUGGGAACUGCCUUUGUGACUGCAAGGCUGGAGUGCGGCAGAGGGGGAUGGAUUCCGCGUGCAGCAGUGAAAUGCGUAGAUAUGCGGAGGAACACCGAUGGCGAAGGCAAUCCCCUGGGCCUGCACUGACGC